rnacentral:lncRNA from 1 species
CGAAAGCCGUUUAUGUGAAUUGCAUAAAAUUAUAUUGUGCAUGCUGCCCAUUGGGAAUAUUAAAUGUGUUUUUAUGCAGGUUGAAAUUUUGGGAAAUGUCCAAUUUACAAGGGAGACUUUGCCGAAAUUUCCGCAGAAAGUCUCGUAACCUUAUUCCAUUUUGGGAAAAAGGGUGUAACUUUAGAAGUGGGCCAGACAUCGUGUAACACCCCGAC